AGGCUCCCACUGAGCUGUGUCUCAGCAAGACAGGUCCUAUCCCUGUCCUCUACUGGGCUGCAGGAAGGACUCAAGGACAGGCCUGGGCUUGUUCAACGCUGGCAGCACUUCUGGGGCUUUGUGGCUGUCCCAUGAUGUCUCGGCCAGAACACAUUCCAGACAGCAAGUUAGCAAAGAACAGCCCAGCUUCUGCGGUCCCUGCUGGCUGACGAGGAGCAGACCUUGUCCCAGGUCUUCCCCAGUUUUCUUCCCUAGAGUCAAUUCUGUCAACCUAGAGGGAUUGUCCUAGCACAGAACGGGGACAGGAGAGGUGAGAUGACUUUAAAGGUUUGGGGUUAGGGGCUGGGAAAGUGGCUCAGUCAGUAAGAUGCUUUCCAUGCCACUGCGGAGACCUGUGUUUGAUCCUCAGAACCCACAGACAAACUGGACACCGAUGUGAGAAAGGACCAGGACAUGAACACCGGGCCUCCUGACCAAGAAAGAGGCAGUGGAUCUAUGAUGACUAGCCCUGCUUGUCAACUUGACUACAUCUGGAAUUAACUAAAACCCAAGCGGCUGAUACAUCAGUGGGAUAAUUCAUCUAUUCAAGAAAAUUACUCCAGCCAGCAGGAGUAGAAAGGAUUCAAUUUUAGCCUCUUGUCUCUGACGUUUAAGAAAUAAUAACUGUAAUUUCAGGAAGACACCCAAAGCAAAGUGAAGAUUUAAAUUUUUAUUACUUUAUUUAUUAUGUGUGCACCUGAAUGUCAGGGGGUGGUGCCCAGGUCACGGUGCCAUGGUACACGCGUGGAGGUCAGAGUGUAGCUUCUCUCCUUCCACCGUGAGGGACCUGGGGAUCCGACUCAGAUGACAGCGUGGCGGCAAGCACCUUUACUAGCUGAGUCAUCUCUUUGGCUCAAGAUAAGAAUUUAAGUGUUUACUUUACGGGUCGAGUAAUGGGUUAGAGAAAAGUUUAAUAUCUCAACUAUUUUAAACCUUUAAGCUUCUGUGUACCCAGCCAGUCAUUUCUUGAUCUUUGUUAAUGAAGCUUUAGGCUCAGGCAGUUUAUUGGGAAAUAAAAUUUAAAACAAACUUUCAGUUCUUUUAAGUUCGGUUCAACUUGCACUGAAACAAGACUUCUGCUGGGUGUGGUGAUAUAAGCCUGUAAUCUCACUUGUAAGCAGUUGGAAGACUGAGGCAGGAGGACUGUCAUGAGUUCAAGGCCAGUGUGGGUUAAGACUCAGUACCAAGAAGCAACAAGAAAGUCCCACAAAAUGCUGUGUCCACACAUUAAAAUGAAAGCAAGCAUUAAUGAAACGAGUGUCCCACCGAUGGCCUUUUGGGAAUAUGGGGGGGUCUUUGAGAGUGGAAGACCCCAAACGGGGUGAAAUCA